rnacentral:rRNA from 1 species
CCUCCCACGACGUCGGCCGCGUCGACGUAAUACGUAGGUGGCAAGCGUUAUCCGGAUUUAUUGGGCGUAAAGCGAGCGCAGGCGGUUUUUUAAGGUCUGAUGUGAAAGCCCUCGGCUUAACCGAGGAAGUGCAUCGGAAACUGGGAAACUUGAGUGCAGAAGAGGACAGUGGAACUCCAUGUGUAGCGGUGAAAUGCGUAGAUAUAUGGAAGAACACCAGUGGCGAAGGCGGCUGUCUGGUCUGUAACUGACGCUGAGGCUCGAAAGCAUGGGUAGCGUAACAGGAUUAGAUACCCUGGUAGUCCAUGCCGUAAACGAUGAAUGCUAGGUGUUGGAGGGUUUCCGCCCUUCAGUGCCGCAGCUAACGCAUUAAGCAUUCCGCCUGGGGAGUACGACCGCAAGGUUGAAACUCAAAGGAAUUGACGGGUGGUCGACGCGGCCG